CCUACGGGAGGCAGCAGUAGGGAAUCUUUCACAAUGGGCGAAAGCCUGAUGGAGCAACGCCGCGUGCAGGAUGAAGGCCUUCGGGUUGUAAACUGCUUUUAUAAGCGAGAAAUAUGAUGGUAACUUAUGAAUAAGGAUCGGCUAACUACGUGCCAGCAGCCGCGGUCAUACGUAGGAUCCGAGCAUUAUCCGGAGUGACUGGGUGUAAAGAGUUGCGUAGGUGGCAUAAUAAGUAGCUAGUGAAAUCUGGUGGCUCAACCAUUCAGACUAUUAGCUAAACUGUUAAGCUCGAGACCGUUAGGGGUAACUGGAAUGUCUAGUGUAGGAGUGAAAUCCGUAGAUAUUAGAAGGAACACCAAUAGCGUAGGCAGGUUGCUGGGACGGUUCUGACACUGAGGCACGAAAGCGUAGGGAGCAAACGGGAUUAGAUACCCCGGUAGUC
rnacentral:rRNA from 1 species